rnacentral:rRNA from 1 species
UACCACCUUGGACAUGCCUAAUGUCAUCCAAUCUCAGAAGCUAAACAGGGCUGGGCCUGGUUAGUAAUGGAUAGGAGAGAGAUAAGGAG